rnacentral:lncRNA from 1 species
UCCGAGCUAAGGGUUAGAUUUAAGUGACUUGAUUAAGGAAUCGUGAAGCACGGAUCGGAUCUAAAUCAAGAUCAAUCAAUAGAGUUCAUUAAUAAUGGAUUUGAAAGAUAUUUGAUAUGGCCAAAUGAGGUUGACAUACAAUACGGAUAUCAAAGCAGCUUCAAGUCAUCUUAUUGGAGUCAACAUAGAUUCUUAGAAAAUGAAGACAUGACUCGAUACAAGAUUCAUAGACCUUCGUAAAGAGAAAAAGUCAUUUAUGAGAGAGAAAGU